rnacentral:lncRNA from 1 species
AGCAUACUUGGAGGAGAGGUCCAUUUUCCUGUCACCACCCACAGCCCCGUGGAUGACCAUAGGCAUUGAACAUUUAAGAAAUGAAGAGAAAAGUGUCUACGUGUCACGUGGAACUGAGGACGCGGGGGCGGCUGGACCCAAGCGCAGGAUCGGUCGUCAGGAACCAAGGAAUCAGGCAAGUUCUCGUUAUCGGGAACAGGCGAAGAGUAGGUCAAUCGGCAGUCGGAGUUAGAGCGAGGAUCCAAGGACGUGGUCAGGGGACGAAGCAAAGGGUCGAAAGCUGGGAAAUGGACACAGGAAACAAGGGAUGAGGAAGAGCUAGACAUAGCACAGGAGGGACAGUUGUCUCAGUGAGAUUCCGCGAUUGUACGGGAGCUGAGGAGGGUCUUUUAAGAGUGCAUGUACUGAUUAGGUGUCAGGUGCCAUCAAGUGUGAUGGACGUGACACUACAAAAUCACACACACACACACAAAAGGAAAACAAUCACGACUGAAACUAAAGAGGAAAUAAUAAAGCAAUCGGAAAAAGGUGAAAUGCCA